GCGCCAUUAGCUCAGCUGGAAGAGCACUUGACUUUUAAUCAAGGCGUCGUGGGUUCGAAUCCCAUAUGGCGCA
rnacentral:tRNA from 1 species